GCUGGCGGCGCGUUUUAAGCAUGCAAGUCGAACGGUAGUAGAGUGCUUGCACUCUAUGAGAGUGGCGAACGGGUGAGUAACACGUAGGUGAUCUAUCUUGGGGUCUGGGAUAGCCUGUGGAAACACAGGGUAAUACCGGAUACGACCUUAUGGGUGAUGCCAUAAGGGGAAAGUCGCUUAGGCGACGUCCUGAGCUGAGCUUGCGGCUCAUUAGUUAGUUGGUAGGGUAACGGCCUACCAAGGCGACGAUGAGUAGCCGGCCUGAGAGGGUGAUCGGCCACACUGGGACUGAGACACGGCCCAGACUCCUACGGGAGGCAGCAGCUAAGAAUCUUCCGCAAUGGGGGCAACCCUGACGGAGCGACGCCGCGUGAACGAAGAAGGCCGGAAGGUUGUAAAGUUCUUUUCCUGGGGGAGAAUAAUGCUUGGAGGGAAUGCCAGGCAGAUGACGUGAACCAGGGAAUAAGCCCCGGCUAAUUCCGUGCCAGCAGCCGCGGUAACACGGAAGGGGCGAGCGUUGUUCGGAUUUAUUGGGCGUAAAGGGCGUGUAGGCGGUGAAAUAAGUCUGGUGUGAAAUAUCCCGGCUCAACCGGGGAGACGCGCUGGAAACUG
rnacentral:rRNA from 1 species